CUGAAGAUUUAAAUAUCAGAUUAAUGUUCUCAUAGGCUGUAAAUAACUACUGGAUUUCUCCUUCUCCAGAUAGAUGACUAUACACCAUAGACGACUUUACAAAUUAUGGACAUAUUGCAUGGUGGAUGACUUGUGAUUUUCAAGAAGAGAAAUCCAAACUGUGAUUUCUACAAGGCCCCAGUAAAAAGUCAUGAUCUCCAAGAGCUGGAACAGUCUGCAAUGGAGAGUGAUUUUCCUCAGGAGUGAUGUGAGGAAAGCGAACUCCACAAUCAGUAAGAUUGUAAAGUAAGUAUGUUUAUUCAGUGCUGGGUGGCAUGGGGGAUAGUCCCACCAAAGUCAUGUGAACCCCAAUGCGGCACUUGCCUUGGUUAUAUGUGGUGAAGAGCUACAUAUGCAUGAAGUUUCU
rnacentral:lncRNA from 1 species